UAGGGAAUUACAGAAGCCAGAGUGGCAAGGGGAGAGGUCUGAGUGACUAUUACAGCAGCAGUUCAAGGCCCUUAUUUUGUUUUGCUUUUCUGGAUUACAGGACUGCAGUUCUGAUGAGGAGGUGAAGAGCUGCUGGCACCAAGCAGAGAAAUGCUUCCUGCAGAGGUACUUCAUUAUCUGGUCAACUCGAACUCGGCAACUUGUGAAGGCCCAGGAGCACCAUAGGCUCCUUCAGCUGUUUCGAGCCUUUCUCAGCUGGCACAACUGGGUCAUGGAAAAUAAAAACCAAAGAGCAGUAGCAGCCCUAAAACAUGGAGUUCAUUGCUGCCAGAAGGCUUUCAGCCUGUGGAAGAAGAGACUGGUGCAGAAAGUGGAAGCUGACCAGAGAUUCCAACAUCACAUUCACCAGACAACUGCUUAUGCUCUGUGGUACUGGCGUUCCUGCUGGCAAAGGAAGCGUGCUGUGAGGGAGCUGCAGCAGCAAUGGGUUCAGCGCAGUUGCCGGGAGAAGAAGAGGCUGGUCCUGCAGAAGUGGUGUUGCCAAACAAGGAAGCAGAAAUAUGCUGCUUUAUUCUGGGAACAUCGUCUCCUGCACAGGUUGGUUUCCUGCCCUAAAAGCAUUUCUGAAGCAAGCUUUGAGUGAAGAG